AUUGAACGCUGGCGGCAUGCCUUACACAUGCAAGUCGAACGGUAACAGGCCGCAAGGUGCUGACGAGUGGCGAACGGGUGAGUAAUGCAUCGGAACGUGCCCAGUCGUGGGGGAUAACUGCUCGAAAGAGCAGCUAAUACCGCAUACGACCUGAGGGUGAAAGCGGGGGACCGUAAGGCCUCGCGCGAUUGGAGCGGCCGAUGUCAGAUUAGCUAGUUGGUGGGGUAAAGGCCUACCAAGGCAACGAUCUGUAGUUGGUCUGAGAGGACGACCCGCCACACUGGGACUGAGACACGGCCCAGACUCCUACGGGAGGCAGCAGUGGGGAAUUUUGGACAAUGGGCGCAAGCCUGAUCCAGCAAUGCCGCGUGCAGGAAGAAGGCCUUCGGGUUGUAAACUGCUUUUGUCAGGGAAGAAAUCCUCUGGGCUAAUACCCCGGGAGGAUGACGGUACCUGAAGAAUAAGCACCGGCUAACUACGUGCCAGCCGCCGCCGUAAAAC
rnacentral:rRNA from 1 species